rnacentral:lncRNA from 1 species
GCUAUGCUGUGGGAAACAGGACAGGAGAAGUGAGACCCAACCUCAUGUAUCCACCAGAAGGGCAUUGGUUAAAUGAAUUAUGACAUGCCCCUUAAAGUGAGGCUGCAGAAAUAAAGGAGAGGGCCCCCAGAAAUGGCAGUGCAUCAAAUGAUGGACAGGCGAUCAUAAAACUGUCCCUCUGACAUGAUAAGUGGCCACGAAUGGCGCCAAGAGGGAGAGGAGUUCCCUAACAGAUAGUUGACAUCAUCUGGAGCCAGCAAACCACAAUUCCCUGGUAAGGUCGAGCAGAAGGGCAAAUGUUGGAGUCUGACUUGUAUAUGACCUUUUUCUUGCGGCGACGGACCAGUAAGGGAAAAUCACCCCAAGUGAGCAUGCGCACAACCUUAGUAAACACACUGCGCAUGCGGCCCCUCCCAAGUGCUGGCAGGCCAUUGCGCAUGCAGGGAGGGCGCAGCAGCCCACCGAAGGGAGGAAUCAAGGAGGAGAAGAAACCCCAGAACCAAGCCAGUGUAUAAAAGCCCCGAGCCAAAGGUUGAGCGGGGCACUUGAUCUCUCAGUUGUACUUUGCUUCUUUCAAUAAACCUUUGCCUCUGCUUUAAAACUUGCCUGCGUCUCUCAAUUGAAUUCUUUCCUCUGAGAAGACAAGGGCUGGGAGUGUUGCGGACUCGCCACCGAUAAUAUUCUCACUACAAAAGUGUUACUGAAAAGAUUUUGAAAAACCCAGAAUUUGGAAUCCA